CGUAGGGUGCGAGCGUUAAUCGGAAUUACUGGGCGUAAAGCGUGCGCAGGCGGUUAUAUAAGACAGAUGUGAAAUCCCCGGGCUCAACCUGGGAACUGCAUUUGUGACUGUAUAGCUAGAGUACGGCAGAGGGGGAUGGAAUUCCGCGUGUAGCAGUGAAAUGCGUAGAUAUGCGGAGGAACACCGAUGGCGAAGGCAAUCCCCUGGGCCUGUACUGACGCUCAUGCACGAAAGCGUGGGGAGCAAACAGGAUUAGAUACCCUGGUAGUCCACGCCCUAAACGAUGUCAACUGGUUGUUGGGUCUUCACUGACUCAGUAACGAAGCUAACGCGUGAAGUUGACCGCCUGGGGAUACGGCCGACAAGGUUG
rnacentral:rRNA from 1 species